CUGGAGUUCGAAGACUCUAUUCCACCUCCGCGGUUCAUAAGAACACGAGUACCUUCCAGCCCUCAAAAACGAGAGGCACUUUUACAGUACCUCUCAUCCCCUCUUCAACAGGAAGUGGUACUUCCGGUACCAAAAGAGGAAAGAUUGCAAGGCUUUUAUUCCCCUCUCUUCCAUUUUCCAGGAGGGAAAUGGAGACUGAUUCUGGAUUUACACCAGCUCAAUCUCUUCCUCAGAAUCAG